rnacentral:rRNA from 1 species
CCUACGGGGGGCAGCAGUGAGGAAUAUUGGUCAAUGGGCGCUAGCCUGAACCAGCCAAGUCGCGUGAAGGAUGACUGUCCUAUGGGUCGUAAACUUCUUUUAUAUGGGAAUAAAGUGCAGUAUGUAUACCCUUCUGCAUGUACCUUAUGAAUAAGGAUCGGCUAACUCCGUGCCAGCAGCCGCGGUAAUACGGAGGAUCCGAGCGUUAUCCGGAUUUAUUGGGUUUAAAGGGUGCGUAGGCGGGUUGUUAAGUCAGUUGUGAAAGGCUGCGGCUCAACCGUAGAAUUGCAGUUGAUACUGGCAGCCUUGAGUACAGUAGAGGUAGGCGGAAUUCGUGGUGUAGCGGUGAAAUGCUUAGAUAUCGCGAAGAACUCCGAUUGCGAAGGCAGCAUGCUGGACUGUAACUGACGCUGAUGCUCGAAAGUGUGGGUAUCGAACAGGAUUAGAUACCCUAGUAGUC